rnacentral:rRNA from 1 species
GAUGAACGCUGGCGGCGUGCCUAAUACAUGCAAGUCGAGCGAAGCGGGGACGGGUCAGUAACAUGUGGCUAACCUCCCAUAAGACUGGGAUAACUUCGGGAAACCGGAGCUAGACAGGAUACUUAUAGGUGGAUCUGCGCUGCAUUAGCUAGUUGGUAAGGUAACGGCUUACCAAGGCAACGAUGCAUAGCCGACCUGAGAGGGUGAUCGGCCACACUGGAACUGAGACACGGUCCAUACUCCUACGUGAGGCAGCAGUGGGGAAUCUGCCGCAAGGGGCGAAAGCCUAACGGAGCAACGCCGCGUGAGUGAAGAAGGUCUUCGGAUCGUAAAACUCUGUGAUUAGGGAAGCGGUACCUAAUCAGAAAGCCACGGCUAACUACGUGCCAGCAGCCGCGGUAAUAC